GAGUUUGAUCCUGGCUCAGGACGAACGCUGGCGGCGUGCCUAAUACAUGCAAGUCGAACGAACUCUGGUAUUGAUUGGUGCUUGCAUCAUGAUUUACAUUUGAGUGAGUGGCGAACUGGUGAGUAACACGUGGGAAACCUGCCCAGAAGCGGGGGAUAACACCUGGAAACAGAUGCUAAUACCGCAUAACAACUUGGACCGCAUGGUCCGAGUUUGAAAGAUGGCUUCGGCUAUCACUUUUGGAUGGUCCCGCGGCGUAUUAGCUAGAUGGUGAGGUAACGGCUCACCAUGGCAAUGAUACGUAGCCGACCUGAGAGGGUAAUCGGCCACAUUGGGACUGAGACACGGCCCAAACUCCUACGGGAGGCAGCAGUAGGGAAUCUUCCACAAUGGACGAAAGUCUGAUGGAGCAACGCCGCGUGAGUGAAGAAGGGUUUCGGCUCGUAAAACUCUGUUGUUAAAGAAGAACAUAUCUGAGAGUAACUGUUCAGGUAUUGACGGUAUUUAACCAGAAAGCCACGGCUAACUACGUGCCAGCAGCCGCGGUAAUACGUAGGUGGCAAGCGUUGUCCGGAUUUAUUGGGCGUAAAGCGAGCGCAGGCGGUUUUUUAAGUCUGAUGUGAAAGCCUUCGGCUCAACCGAAGAAGUGCAUCGGAAACUGGGAAACUUGAGUGCAGAAGAGGACAGUGGAACUCCAUGUGUAGCGGUGAAAUGCGUAGAUAUAUGGAAGAACACCAGUGGCGAAGGCGGCUGUCUGGUCUGUAACUGACGCUGAGGCUCGAAAGUAUGGGUAGCAAACAGGAUUAGAUACCCUGGUAGUCCAUACCGUAAACGAUGAAUGCUAAGUGUUGGAGGGUUUCCGCCCUUCAGUGCUGCAGCUAACGCAUUAAGCAUUCCGCCUGGGGAGUACGGCCGCAAGGCUGAAACUCAAAGGAAUUGACGGGGGCCCGCACGAGCGGUGGAGCAUGUGGUUUAAUUCGAAGCUACGCGAAGAACCUUACCAGGUCUUGACAUACUAUGCGAAUCUAAGAGAUUAGACGUUCCCUUCGGGGACAUGGAUACAGGUGGUGCAUGGUUGUCGUCAGCUCGUGUCGUGAGAUGUUGGGUUAAGUCCCGCAACGAGCGCAACCCUUAUUAUCAGUUGCCAGCAUUAAGUUGGGCACUCCGGUGAGACUGCCGGUGACAAACCGGAGGAAGGUGGGGAUGACGUCAAAUCAUCAUGCCCCUUAUGACCUGGGCUACACACGUGCUACAAUGGAUGGUACAACGAGUUGCGAACUCGCGAGAGUAAGCUAAUCUCUUAAAGCCAUUCUCAGUUCGGAUUGUAAGCUGCAACUCGCCUACAUGAAGUCGGAAUCGCUAGUAAUCGCGGAUCAGCAUGCCGCGGUGAAUACGUUCCCGGGCCUUGUACACACCGCCCGUCACACCAUGAGAGUUUGUAACACCCAAAGUCGGUGGGGUAACCUUUUAGGAACCAGCCGCCUAAGGUGGGACAGAUGAUUAGGGUGAAGUCGUAACAAGGUAACCAAUC
rnacentral:rRNA from 1 species